UGCUGCAGAAACAGUACAGCUAAGUAUAAUAUUAAUUUACGUACGAGGCCUCAGGUAUCAGGUAAAAAAUAUGGAUUUAUUAAACGUGGUGACUCAACUUCACCACAGGUAUUGCUGUGCGAUCUUUGUAUUUAACAUCACAAUUUAAUUCUACACGUAACUCCUGGUUUUGUUCUUAGCCAAGUGUUGUUUGGUCUAUCUUGUCAUUACCGGCCACGAUCGUAACAUUUCUCAUGAAGUUUUGUCAGUCUUGCCAACUCCAAUUAGGGAUAUGUGGCGCGUAAUAGAGUUCAUUCACACAGCAUGCAGAUUUCUAGAUCGUACUCAUGAUAUUCAUAGCUUCAACUCUCUCGUGGAAACCUAUGACAUAGGGUACAUUAAAGAGGCUUUCAAUACAUUUUCAGUUGCUGACGUCAUUUGUCUUUUAGGUUGCUGGCAAUUUUUGGAAGAUUGCGAUUACAUUCCAUUUCUGCAUUAUUUAACAGAUAUAACGAAUCUGAACUUAUUGGGAGCUGAUCCCGACACAUUCCGUGGAGCACGACCCGACUGGCCGCCUUUACCAACAAUGUAUUUGGAAAGCUACGUGUGUGCUGCUGGAAUAGCGGUUACGAAUCAACAUGGACUUAGCAUCUUAUGGUGCAAAAACAAACAUGAUUCUCUCAAACGUCCAACACUUCACCCACCCACGAAUCCCGUUCUUCGACCAAAUGCUGAACAAGGAUGGGAUAUUUUAGCUUCAUGCACUCUUAGGAAACGCUUGGGCAAAAUAAAGGAAUGGAAUUCAUCGGGGCACGUUAUAGACGUACGUGGCGGACACUUUGGGAUGUCAUGUUCACUAAAUCCUAAUCCUACGAAAAUAACCAUUUCGCCUGACCAGCAUAUGGUAAAUACUUUAAAAGUAGGUCAACGAAACGAUAUCAGAAAAAGACUUUCCAAAUUCUAAAUAGACGUCGAGAUGUGAAAUCUUACCUGCUUACAUAUGAUGUACAUCGUCGAGAAAAGUCUGGUGUUUAUGACGAAGAUAUAAUUCAGAAACAUUUGUCUCCGGGAACCUACGUCUCUGAAAUUGGUGCUUAUUAUAUGUGGAGGGCAAAUCACGCGAGGCAAGUACAAACUUCCGAUCUAUUUGACAAUCAUUUAAUUCAGCUACAUAAAAUGUUUAUAGUUAUUGUUCAUUCAGCCGACUAUUUCGGCUGUAAACCUUUCCUUUGCCAACUUGUAAUUAAUUUCAGUAAAGGAAUAAACUUAUCAAUGCAUAAUAGUAGUAGGGAAACAUGAUCACUAUCACGAUUAAUAUUAUUCGUAAUUAUUCACUGCAGGCAAAUAUUUAAUUUAGCAUUGAUGCAAGCAGUUGAAAACAAUAACCAAUAUACUGCGUCGAUUUUAUCCUCCGUUGCCUCUAUUGAAAAAUUUCAAAACCGUUCUGUACCUAGUAUGUCAAAAGUUGUUUUUCAAAGCACUUUCAAUACAAUGGGUCUUUCACACCAACAAGCUGGAAAUUCUGAGGCACAGAUUCUAUCGUACAUUUUGUCACUAAUUGUUAACAAAUGCGUGACCUGCGUCACAGACGAUUUUGGUCAUUCACCUUCUGUACAAUUAGAAGAUGAUGAAAUUUUGCUAGUUGUCAAGCCUCCUGUUUCGCGAAAUCGGCAUGAUACACCUCCCCUCCAUUUCAUUGGAAGGCACCUUGUAAUGUUAUUGUCUUCCAGGCACGGUCACGCUUUCAGGUGGAAUCACACAAUGCAUUGGUGGCUUGUCGAAAACAAACUGGUACGGAAGUAUGAUAUUAUUCCACAGCUUUUUUCGUGGCAACUGGCUAUAUACGGUUCAACUUCAAAUGUUAUUGACGAGGAACGUCUUUCGAGAUCAUUAUAGGCCGCGAGUCAAGGCCAUUUAUCUUUCAGUUUCGUAGCGCACAUAAGCAGACUUAUAGGCCACAGCAUAUUUGGAAAUAGAAAUUAAUGGCUGUUUCUGUAAU